UUGACGGAGAGUUUGAUCCUGGCUCAGGACGAACGCUGGCGGCGUGCCUAACACAUGCAAGUCGAACGAGGUCGCCUUCGGGCAAUGACCAAGUGGCGAACGGGUGCGUAACACGUGAGAAACCUGCCCCGAAGACUGGGACAACCACGGGAAACUGUGGCUAAUACCAGAUGCCCUCCGCUGAUCGCAUGAUCGGCAGAGGAAAUGCUCCGGCGCUUCGGGAGGGCCUCGCGGCCUAUCAGCUAGUUGGUGAGGUAACGGCUCACCAAGGCAUCGACGGGUAGCUGGUCUGAGAGGACGAUCAGCCACACUGGGACUGAGACACGGCCCAGACUCCUGCGGGAGGCAGCAGUGGGGAAUCUUGCGCAAUGGGCGAAAGCCUGACGCAGCAACGCCGCGUGGGGGAUGAAGGCUCUCGGGUUGUAAACCCCUUUCAGCAGGGACGAAAUUGACGGUACCUGAAGAAGAAGCCCCGGCCAACUACGUGCCAGCAGCCGCGGUAACACGUAGGGGGCGAGCGUUGUCCGGAAUUAUUGGGCGUAAAGAGCUCGUAGGCGGUUUAGUAAGUCAGAUGUGAAAGGUUGGGGCUCAACCCUAAGACUGCAUCCGAUACUGCUAUGACUAGAGUCCGGUAGAGGAGUGUGGAAUUCCUGGUGUAGCGGUGAAAUGCGCAGAUAUCAGGAGGAACACCGACGGCGAAGGCAGCACUCUGGGCCGGUACUGACGCUGAGGAGCGAAAGCGUGGGUAGCAAACAGGAUUAGAUACCCUGGUAGUCCACGCCGUAAACGUUGGGCACUAGGUGUGGGGCCUUAUCAACGGGUUCCGUGCCGUAGCUAACGCAUUAAGUGCCCCGCCUGGGGAGUACG
rnacentral:rRNA from 1 species